UUGAUCUUAUCUGAGCAGUGGGCUGCGGAGAAGACGGCGACGGAGAAUGUGACCGGCGUAGUUGGGGAGGAGCUACCGCCUUACAUAUAUAGGGUUAAUGGAGGCUCCGUUCAUCUCUUUCUGGCCGGUCAAUUUUUCGGGACCCCUUUUCCCUGCUUUACUGCGAUGAAGACUGUUCGCCAUCUGAGCCUAUCGAAUAAAUCGGGGCGAUGAGGGUUUGAGCGGACUUG
rnacentral:lncRNA from 1 species